AUAUGGUUAGGGUUCUGAUUCUUUUUCUUCUUCUUCUUCCGACAGCAGCAGCAGCAUAUGCACAUCAUGAAGAAGAUGAGAAGCAGAAAUCCGACCCCGGCGGAGAGUCCCGCAAUCAGCUUGAUUUGGUCCUGCGAUAGCCCCUCCGAUCCCGGCGGCGAUAUUGCCUUGUUGUUGGUUCCCUGGGACGAACGAUGAGCUUGACCGGGCGGCGACAUUGUAUCGUGAGCCCUUGUCCCGCUCUCUCCGUUACUGUUGGAAUUAUUAUUGCUGUCCUUGUUGUUGUUGUCAGUGGCGCCCUCACGGCGAGGCCGCGGCGCCGGAGGAGAGGCAGCGUUAGCGUUUCCAUCGGAGGGAGGCGGCGGUGGGGAAUCUUUGGAAGAGGGAGGUGAUCCGGUAGGAGAUUGACC
rnacentral:lncRNA from 1 species